rnacentral:rRNA from 1 species
UGGGGAAUAUUGCACAAUGGGGGAAACCCUGAUGCAGCGACGCCGCGUGAGCGAAGAAGGCUUUCGAGUCGUAAAGCUCUGUCCUAUGAGAAGAUAAUGACGGUAUCAUAGGAGGAAGCCCUGGCUAAAUACGUGCCAGCAGCCGCGGUAAUACGUAUGGGGCGAGCGUUGUCCGGAAUUAUUGGGCGUAAAGGGUACGUAGGCGGUUUUUUAAGUCAGGUGUCAAAGCGUGGAGCUUAACUCCAUUAAGCACUUGAAACUGAAAGACGUGAGUGAAGGAGAGGAAAGUGGAAUUCCUAGUGUAGCGGUGAAAUGCGUAGAUAUUAGGAGGAAUACCGGUGGCGAAGGCGACUUUCUGGACUUUUACUGACGCUCAGGUACGAAAGCGUGGGGAGCAAACAGG